rnacentral:rRNA from 1 species
GAUGAACGCUGGCGGCGUGCCUAAUACAUGCAAGUCGAGCGAACAGAUGAGGAGCUUGCUCCUCUGACGUUAGCGGCGGACGGGUGAGUAACACGUGGAUAACCUACCUAUAAGACUGGGAUAACUUCGGGAAACCGGAGCUAAUACCGGAUAAUAUAUUGAACCGCAUGGUUCAAUAGUGAAAGACGGUUUUGCUGUCACUUAUAGAUGGAUCCGCGCCGCAUUAGCUAGUUGGUAAGGUAACGGCUUACCAAGGCAACGAUGCGUAGCCGACGUGAGAGGGUGAUCGGCCACACUGGAACUGAGACACGGUCCAGACUCCUACGGGAGGCAGCAGUAGGGAAUCUUCCGCAAUGGGCGAAAGCCUGACGGAGCAACGCCGCGUGAGUGAUGAAGGUCUUCGGAUCGUAAAACUCUGUUAUUAGGGAAGAACAAAUGUGUAAGUAACUAUGCACGUCUUGACGGUACCUAAUCAGAAAGCCACGGCUAACUACGUG